GACGAACGCUGGCGGCGUGCUUAACACAUGCAAGUCGAGCGGUAAGGCCCUUUCGGGGGUACACGAGCGGCGAACGGGUGAGUAACACGUGGGUGACCUGCCCUCAGCUCUGGGAUAAGCCUGGGAAACUGGGUCUAAUACUGGAUAUGACUCCACGGUGCAUGUCGUGGGGUGGAAAGCCUUGUGCGGCUGAGGAUGGGCCCGCGGCCUAUCAGCUUGUUGGUGGGGUGANGGCCUACCAAGGCGACGACGGGUAGCCGGCCUGAGAGGGCGACCGGCCACACUGGGACUGAGACACGGCCCAGACUCCUACGGGAGGCAGCAGUGGGGAAUAUUGGACAAUGGGCGAAAGCCUGAUCCAGCAAUGCCGCGUGUGUGAAGAAGGCCUGCGGGUUGU
rnacentral:rRNA from 1 species